rnacentral:rRNA from 1 species
GAAGAAACUCGGUUUGCCUCAGUAGCGGCGAGUGAAAGCGGCAAGAGCUCAGAUUUGAAAUCGUGCUUUGCGGCACGAGUUGUAGAUUGCAGGUUGGAGUCUGUGUGGAAGGCGGUGUCCAAGUCCCUUGGAACAGGGCGCCCAGGAGGGUGAGAGCCCCGUGGGAUGCCGGCGGAAGCAGUGAGGCCCUUCUGACGAGUCGAGUUGUUUGGGAAU